rnacentral:lncRNA from 10 species
GUGCAGUAGCUCAUGCCUGUAAUCCCAGUGUUUUGGGAGGCCAAGGCAGGAGGAUCGCUUGAGGCCAGGAGAUCAAGACCAGCCUAGGCAACAUAGUGAGACCCUGUCUCUACAAAAAAAUUGUUUAAAAAUUAGCCAGGCGUGGUGACAUGUGCCUGUGGUCCCAGCUACUCAGGAGGCUGAGGUGGGAGGAUUGCUUGAGCCCAGUAGGUUGAGGCUGCGGUGAGCCUGAGUCCAGCCUGGGUUACAGAGUGAGACCCUGUCUCAAAAAAAAUUUUUUUUCAAAAAGUGGAAAACGCAAAUCUGCCCUUGUGGAAUUUACAUUGUAGUUGGAGGAACACAGUAAUGUAAUAGGGAAGAUAUUAGGGCUGUAAGUCCAGCUGCGGGCAGCUGGCUGUCAAGAUGGGACAGGUGUGGAUCAGAAGCAGAGAUGAGUAAAGGAGGCAAGGACCCAUGAGCACCAGAACUCAGUCAGGAAUCAAGAAGCCCAAGGGUGGCUGGAGACGACUGGAUAACACCAGUCCCCUUGGCAUGACAUCAGGCAGCAUGCGUGGCAUUUGUGUAUGUGUUGGGCAGCACACUUUCUAUGCUGGGAGGCCCACAGCUGGGAUGAGCCCAUGUGACCUGACAGCUGCCCUGUGGGCAGGCAGAGUGGGGGGGCUAUUGCCUUCAAUCAUAAACGAGG